rnacentral:rRNA from 1 species
AAUGGUGACCAUAGUAGCAAGGAAACACCUCUAACCAUUCCGAACAGAGAAGUUAAGCUCGCUUACGCCAAUGGUACUGCGUAAACGUGGGAGAGUAGGUAGUCGCCAAAG